GACGAACGCUGGCGGCGUGCUUAACACAUGCAAGUCGAACGCAGUGGCGAACGGGUGAGUAACGCGUAAUCAACCUGCCCUUCAGAGGGGGACAACAGUUGGAAACGACUGCUAAUACCCCAUACUGAAGGUGGGGAUUGCGUCUGAUUAGCUAGUUGGGGGGGUAACGGCCCACCAAGGCGAUGAUCAGUAGGCGGUCCGGGGGGGUGGACGGCCACAAUGGGACUUGGGACACGCCCAGACUCCUAAGGGGGGGAGGCGUUGGGAAACUUCCGCAAAUGACGGAAGUCCGACGGAGGAACUCCGCGGGAGUGAUGACGGCCUUCGGGUUGUAAAGCUCUGUUAAUCGGGACGCGGUACCGGAACAGAAAGCCACGGCUAACUACGUGCCAGCAGCCGCGGUAAUAC
rnacentral:rRNA from 1 species